AUGAACCUUUGGCCAUGGUAUCUGUCACGUCACCAGAAUGGCCAGAACAGAGCAUGGUAAAGUUUAGCUCAAAGGAGAGUCACAAAAACUUCUGCAAUUCCAUCUUCUUAGGGCAAAGCGAUGCCAAGCCACAACAAUCAGUCCUGAAGUCACCUUUCAGAAAACACAGCUUUCAAGCAUAAGUCAGAGCCAACGGAAAGCAGAGCAAAUACGGGAUAAACUGAGGGAAGGAGCAAGGACUGUGAAC